UGGGGAAUAUUGCACAAUGGGCGAAAGCCUGAUGCAGCAACGCCGCGUGAGGGACGACGGCCUUCGGGUUGUAAACCUCUUUUAGCAAGGAAGAAGCGAAAGUGACGGUACUUGCAGAAAAAGCGCCGGCUAACUACGUGCCAGCAGCCGCGGUAAUACGUAGGGCGCAAGCGUUAUCCGGAAUUAUUGGGCGUAAAGAGCUCGUAGGCGGUUUGUCGCGUCUGCUGUGAAAACCCGAGGCUCAACCUCGGGCCUGCAGUGGGUACGGGCAGACUAGAGUGCGGUAGGGGAGAUUGGAACUCCUGGUGUAGCGGUGGAAUGCGCAGAUAUCAGGAAGAACACCGAUGGCGAAGGCAGAUCUCUGGGCCGUAACUGACGCUGAGGAGCGAAAGGGUGGGGAGCAAACAGGCUUAGAUACCCUGGUAGUCCACCCCGUAAACGUUGGGAACUAGUUGUGGGGUCCAUUCCACGGAUUCCGUGACGCAGCUAACGCAUUAAGUUCCCCGCCUGGGGAGUACGGCCGCAAGGCUAAAACU
rnacentral:rRNA from 1 species